rnacentral:lncRNA from 1 species
GAAAAUUGUACCAAAAGCAAGUUAAAUUGUACUACUUUCUCUUUUUAUAUAAGCAUUCUAUAGUGUACAGUGAAAGCCUUUACAUUUUUGAGCAACUUUCACAUAUAGCAAACAAAAAAAUUAUAUUUGUAGGCUAUAGCAAAGUUUGCAUAAUUGCGCUCCAUAUCAAACAUAUAUAUGUAUAAUUCGCUAUACAUAUACAAUUGAAAGCUAUGUCUAUUUCGCUAUACAUAUAUACAAAAAGAAGCAAUUAUAUAAUUCAUUGGCUCUUUUUCAGAUUUGUAUAAUUUCGUUGGCAGGCCAUUUGUAUAAAUUGUUGUUAGCCUCUCGUUUGUAUAAAUCGUUGACAAAAAUAUUUGUAUAUCAAAAAUCGCUCUCUCUUUCGCUUUAUUGUAUAAUUUCGCUGGCAGGCCAUUUGUAUAAAUUGUUGUUAGCCUCUCGUUGGCAAGGGAAUAUUUUUAUUGUAUAAUUAUAAGUGUAUAGGACGAAUAUAUAUGUAUUUGCAUGUGUAUAUACAAUUUUCUCUCGCUUUAUACAAACAUAAACGCAAUUUAUACAAUUCUGUUGUAUAAAGCGAGAGAGGCGAGCACAGAGGGAGCGAGCGAGAAAGGGAGAGUGGCGAGUGAGAAUUUGGAGGGAGGAGGCAACUAGCAAACGUUUGCUACGGGACGCAAUUAAAUCAAACAGUAGCUACUCCAUUUAUUUUAGAUUAUAAGUUUGCCAUUCUAUACAAUUAUCCCUACAUUUUUUGCUCUGUCUGGCCCAUUUUUAUUGGCAAUAGUUGCUUUAUAUCCACGUGUAAGGAACUGAAAUUACCUCUGCUUUUGAUAAAAAUAAAUUGUCUUUCUCUUUGCAAAGUAUAAUCAUCUCUCAUCCCUUUCUCUUUUCAUCUUGAAACGGGUGACUCUUUUUGCCCUUCUUCUGCAUCUGUUUUUUUCUCUUCAAAGAUUACAUGUAUUAUAUGUGAUGAUUGUAAAAUAACUAUCUUUAUCCUUCAAGUCCUAAUUUGUUUCCAGUUCUUUUUUUAUAUUUAUUUGAUUUUAUGAUUUUUGAAUGCAUUGUUGUAGGAUUUUAUUCUUGCAUGUUACUAAUUUGGUUUGAUUUACUCAUGGUUGUUCGAAAAUUGAUUUUCCCAUUUUUAUUCUUCUCACUUUUCUCUUUUUCUCUUUGCAUUUUGAGUAGUUUAUGGUAGAAUUUUGCACUUUCAUGUUCCUAAUUUCGUGUUAUAUAAUGAUGUAUGUUUUGAAAAUGUAUAUGUACUAGACCAUGUGAUGUAGUACUAUAGUGCAUCUGGAGCUUUUUUGUGGGUUUUCUUUCUUUUAGAAUUUGUCAAUUUUUUUCUAUUUGUGCAUAGUUUGAGCUCGCUAUAUUUGGAGUUAUUUUUAUUUUGAAUUUUUAAUUUGACUUGAGAGUUGUAUUGUGAAUGACUUAGAAAAAUAACAAAGAGAGCCUAUAUGUAGAGCAAUGACAACUCGAAAGUGAUUUCGGAGAAAGAACAAACGUAUAGUUCCAUCUUAAGAGUAGUUCCAUUUUUGAAAAAAUGAGAAAAGAUCAUGUGAAUGUAAAGUAGGGCAUGUGUUUUCUUUCCUCCUUUGAAUUGUUUCCUUUUCAGAUUUGCUAAUAUUGAUCCAUUUGACGACUAAUUUUAAUGUUGUUUUCUUAUUUUUCUAGCAUAUGGCAAGAUGUAAGCACAAGGGUGGACAAGCAGAUGGAAAAAAAUAGCAUGUUCUCGGGGUCACUAGAAACCUUGUGGAUGCUUCAACUGGUAAUGAAAGCAAAUCGCUUUUCUCCACCGUAUUACAAUAACUAACUAUCUUAUUUUUCAUGAGUUCCCUUUUGGCUCAUUCAGUGUCAAAUGCACAAGCAGUGCAGAGAAGAACAAGGUAAACGUUCUGUAGCACAAUGUAAUUAUAGAAAACUUUAGUAUUUAGGAUAGAAAGGCGACUGGUCCAUAUAUGUUCAAAGUUUUCUUAUUUUGCAUAAACCACUUUAAGUGUUUUCAAUAGAGUUAUAGUAGGCUAUAUG